rnacentral:rRNA from 1 species
GAUGAACGCUGGCUACAGGCUUAACACAUGCAAGUCGAGGGGAAACGACGGGGAAGCUUGCUUCCCCGGGCGUCGACCGGCGCACGGGUGAGUAACGCGUAUCCAACCUGCCUCUGACUGAGGGAUAACCCGUCGAAAGUCGGCCUAAUACCUCAUGGCAUCGUCUGCGGGCAUCCAACGACGAUUAAAGAUUUCAUCGGUCAGGGAUGGGGAUGCGUCUGAUUAGCUUGUUGGCGGGGUAACGGCCCACCAAGGCUACGAUCAGUAGGGGUUCUGAGAGGAAGGUCCCCCACAUUGGAACUGCGACACGGUCCAAACUCCUACGGGAGGCAGCAGUGAGGAAUAUUGGUCAAUGGGCGGGAGCCUGAACCAGCCAAGUAGCGUGCAGGAUGACGGCCCUAUGGGUUGUAAACUGCUUUUAUGCGGGGAUAAAGUGAGGGACGUGUCCUUCAUUGCAGGUACCGCAUGAAUAAGGACCGGCUAAUUCCGUG